rnacentral:rRNA from 1 species
AAGCCAAAGGAAAGUGGCAACAUGAGUACUUGGCGCAAGGGUGCGUAAUGUAUAGGUUAUCUGCCCUUUGGUCUGGGAUAACUCAUCGAAAGAUGAGAUAAAACCAGAUAAUGAGGAAACUCCAAAAGCAAUGCCAAAGGAUGAGCCUAUAUCCCAUCAGGUAGUUGGUAGGGUAAUGGCCUACCAAGCCGACGACGGGUAGCUGGUCUGAGAGGAUGAUCAGCCACACUGGAACUGAGACACGGUCCAGACAUCUACGGAUGGCAGCAGUGAGGAAUAUUGCUCAAUGGGUGAAAGCCUGAAGCAGCAACGCCGCGUGGGCGAUGAAGGUCUUCGGAUUGUAAAGCCCUUUUGUAGGGGACGAA